CCUACGGGUGGCAGCAGUGAGGAAUAUUGGUCAAUGGACGAGAGUCUGAACCAGCCAAGUAGCGUGAAGGAUGACUGCCCUAUGGGUUGUAAACUUCUUUUAUAAAGGAAUAAAACGAGGCACGUGUGCCCUUUUGCAUGUACUUUAUGAAUAAGGAUCGGCUAACUCCGUGCCAGCAGCCGCGGUAAUACGGAGGAUGCGAGCGUUAUCCGGAUUUUGUGGGUUUAAAUGGAGCGUAGAUGGGUUGGUAAGUAAGUUGUGAAAGUUUUCGGCUCAACCGUGGAAUUGCAAUUGAUACUGGCAGUCUUGAGUACAGUAGAGGUAGGCGGAAUGCGUGGUGUAGCGGUGAAAUGCUUAGAUAUCACGAAGAACCCCGAUUGCGAAGGCAGCUUACUAAACUGUGACUGACAUUGAGGCUCGAAAGUGUGGGUAUCAAACAGGAUUAGAUACCCUAGUAGUC
rnacentral:rRNA from 1 species